rnacentral:lncRNA from 1 species
AUGACAAGAACUUAUUUCAAUUAAAUUACUACUGACUGAUCAGGCGCAGCACAAACUCAGGAGCCGAAGUGUGCCAUAAACACUCCUAUCCCUGAGCCAGAAUAUAAAAAAAAACAAAAACAAAAAACAACCCAACUUAUUAGCUUAAAAAUAAAAAAAAAUCUGUGCCAAGUUAUAUAUACAUACAUUUGUCAUCAUUCAGGUUUUAGGGAUAGGGUCUGUACUUAUGUAGCUUAUCUAUGCCAACUGAUGCAGAAUGUAGGUUUUAUAGUCUAACCAAUAAUAUCCAUUUGUUCUUUUGUAUUAGGAACAGUUAUGUUUUGAGGAGCAAGAGACGAAUAACAUAAGCUGUGAUUAGGAAGUGUCAUGUUUAGGGAACAAAAGAUAAAAAAAAAAUGGAAGUAUUUUUAUCUGGUCUGGUAUUUGGAAGUCCCCAUCUCCCCUAGAGCCUGGAGAGAUAAAUUUAGCUUGACCCUAUGAUGAAAUGGAGGCUGAUAAAAUAUCUAGGACAAGUUUCUUUUGAUUCUUCCUAAUGUUUGCAUAUUAUAGUCAUCUUCAAUGACAUAAAAGGAUAUAUAUUGGAGGAAAACCCUAUAAAUGUAAUCAAUAUCAUAAACCUUCUCCAGCACAUAGUUACCUACUAAUACAUAAAAGAACACACACUUGUGAGAAACCCUAUGAAUAUAACCAGUGUGGUAAAGGCCUUUCACAACACAGUCAUCUCCUAACCCAGAAAAGAAUACACACAGAGCUGCCACCCAGCAGGAGCAGCAUGUGUGUGCAGCAUGCUUUUUGCCAUGAUUGUGUACUGGGUCCACCUGGCUUAAGCAGAAGGGAGCUAACCCAGCGUGUGGUUACAGUCAAUGCAGUCUGUCCUAUCCACAAAGUCCGUUUUAACCUCAACUACCUGAGUCAGCUACUGAACAACAAAAAGCAGAGAGUCUGCAUGGUGCAUUUGAGGAACUCAAGGAUGUUGGACAACAGAAGCACUCUAGAAGAGAGAGCUCAUCAAAGACUUGCAGAAGAGAUGCUGAAUACCCCUGACAGUUCUUUGAAGACCUUUCAGACAAGCCCUAUACCCUAGAGGACUAUGAUGUCUCUUUUGAGAGUGGCAUGCUCAUCAUUAAGCUGAGCGGAGAUCUAGGGAACUACACAGUCAACAAGCAGAGCCCAAAGAAGCAAAUCUGGCUGUCUUUCCCCUUCAGUGGCCCCAAGCACUAUGACUGAACUUGGAAGAACUGGGUGUACACCCAUGACAGCGUGUCUCUGUGUAAGCUGCUGGCCAGAGAGCUGACUGAAGCAUUAAGCACCAAAUUGGACUUGUCUUCAUUGGCCUAUUCUGGAAAAGGCACUUGAAUGCCUGCCAAGUUCAAAGACAUGAAAAACAUAUCAGGAGAAGACCCAGCCUCCUUCUGUAAUUGAUUGUCUGGUUUGCCAUGCCUGCUUCUGAGGAUAGUCACACUGUAUGUGACAGCUGUGAAAAAGUGUGUUACCUCGCCCUCUCCCCAAAAAUGCACACUGGAAAGGAACCCUAAGCAUGUAACCAGUGUGUUAGACUUUGCAUUUCUUAGUGGUCUCCAAAUACAUAAAAGAAUGCAUAUUGUGGAGGAGCUAGAGAAAUUACCCAAGGAGCUAAAGGGAACUGCAACCCUAUAGGUAGAACAACAAUAUGAACUAACCAGUACCCCGGAGCUCUUGACUCUAACUGCAUAUGUAUCAAAAGAUGGCCUAGUCGGCCAUCACUGCAAAGAGAGGC